CCGGGAGGAGGGCGCUGACCUCGAAGGGCCGCUUUCUGCUGCCCUGGGAGCUGGGUGCUUGGGGUCCUAAUCUGUCGGCGGGGGUGCAGCGCCAUGCAGCCCAUCCCCCAGCCAUAGCUCUUCCCAGCCCCCCAGGCUCCCACUCUCAUGCCUCACCCCCUCUUCCCAGGCUAUAGGGAGCGACUAGACAUGGCGCCCGAUACCCUGCAGAAACAGGCGGACCACUGUAACGACCGCCGCAUGGCGUCCAAGCGCGUGCAGGAGCUCAGUACCAGUCUCUUCUUUGCUGUUCUGGUCAAGGAGAGUGGCCCCCUGGAGUCAGAAGCCAUGGUGAUGGGCGUCCUGAAGCAAGCCUUCGAUGUGCUGGUGCUGCGCUACGGCGUGCAGAAGCGCAUCUACUGCAACGCACUGGCCCUGCGGUCCCACCACUUCCAGAAGGUGGGCAAGAAGCCGGAACUCACGCUGGUCUGGGAGCCUGAGGACAUGGAGCAGGAGCCAGCACAGCAGGUCAUCACCAUCUUCAGCCUGGUGGAGGUGGUCCUGCAGGCAGAGUCCACAGCCCUCAAGUACAGCGCCAUCCUGAAGCGGCCAGGCACCCAGGGCCACCUGGGCCCUGAGAAGGAGGAGGAGGAGGAGGAGUCUGACGGUGAGCCCGAGGACUCAAGCACCAGCUGAGCUCCACCAGCCGCCUGCCCCGCCUGCCUGUCCCGCCACACUGGCUUUAGGACCUGUUGACACGGAGGGGGGUUUUUAAUUUGGUUUUUAACAACUCAGGGGUUUGUUUUUAUUUUUAUUUAAUUUUUGCAGCUCAACUUUUAAACAAACUGCAGGGGAGAGGGUGGGGCUGGAAGGAAGGCUGAGGCCUGGUCAGCAGUGACCCCAGCAGAGCAGGCCCUAGUCCUCCUGGGAGGCUGGCCCCCCUUUUUUCUGGGCCCUACUGCCCUCCUCUGCCCAGGAAAUGGGGGGUUUCAGCAAAUCAGUGUCACAGAAUAAAAUCAAGUGUGGAGUGCCAUCUGGUGUGUAGGGUGCCUCUGGGAAGCCUGGGCAGCAGAAUGCCCCUUGCACCCAGGGCAAGGGACCCAGUUCAGGCUUCACCCCUCGCUGCUGAGCCGAUGUCAACACCUGGAACUUUCCUGUCAGUUCCAACACGAUUCAGAGCUGGCUGCCUGGCAGAUGAUUGAUGCUGGAGUCUCAUUCUGCCUGAUUAAAAAUGGAAUUAGUAUGCAGCACUGAGAGCGCCCCCAUCACCCUGACGCAUGUGACUGUGACGAAUGUGACUGUGUCCAACCCUGCCCCCACUUCCUCUCUGCACCAGCUCCGCAGGGCCUGGUGGGAGUCAUGGGUCCUGUGAUACCCCCUCCCCUCAGUUCCUCAAGCAGCACUCUGUGAGGUCCUGUGCCCAGCUCUGGUGUGAGUGGGUGCCCCGGCAGCACCAAGGGAGCCUGGACAGAGGAGCCGGCCUGGGCCUGGGGGAGGGGAGGAGGGCCCUCCAGUGCCUUCCAAACCAGGAGGGGAAACUGGCUGCUGGUGACACGGAUCCCACCUGCCUCGGUCCCGAGCAGAGCUGGCUGGCCACUGGGCAGUCCCUUCCCCAGCCAGCCUGACCCCAGCCUGUACUCCUUCCCCCUCCGUGGGGGAAGCUCCAUGGCUUGGCGUCUCCGAGAGCUGCCAGAAACUAGGAUGAAAGCCAUGGUGAGCACGGCCUCUGUUCCCCUGCACCAUUUCCUGGGGUGUCCGGAUUAACAAGCUCAUUUGAUCUGGUUACAGUGAAUUUUCUUCAAAGAAACACUCAAUAGGGUCCCUUGUCAGAGUGCCUCGCAGCGACAGUGACUGGGUACUGCUGCCUUUGUUCUGCCACCGUCAGACGGGGCUGGCUAUGGGAGGCGACCAAAGACAUCCCGCACCUGCCCUGGGAGCCUUUCCCUCCUCCAGGGCUCAGCCACCUCAGGCGGCCUUCAGUCUGUGUGUCCUGCCACCCCCGAGAUGUCCCAGAGGCCACGGUCACCCCAUCUGUUCCUGUCCCCAGAACCUUCUCCUGCAGCCAAGUAUCUGCAGGGACAGACAGGCGAGCAUCUGGGGGUUUGGUGUUGGGGUGGAGAAGGCUGUGGGGUGCUGCCCCGGCCCAGGCAGCCUGACUGUGAGAGCCCCAAACAGGAGACAUCCCAGCCCCUUCCCCUCCCCUCCACGCUGCCCACCCUCUGAGGAGCAGUGGCCAAGUUCCUCUCUGGGCUUCUCAGGCCAGGCUGACCCUGUCCCCCAGGGCCUCCCACGAAGCAUGGGAGCUGUUCCCUCACAGGCAGCACAGACCCGGACGGACACCUGUCCCUAUGUCCCAGCGCCCCCAGGCCCCAGUGAGGAGUAGCCAGCGGGGUGAACAAGGGGGUUCCUGCUGCCUGGGCUUGUUUGGGAAGCAGAUGCUGGGCUCAGAGUUUCUUCAGAGAGCCUCACCUUCCGUGCUGGCCCCAGAGCAUGGCGGGUCCCUGGAGCUGUGGAGGCCAUGGCAGCCCCAGCCCACCCCACCCCAUCUGGGGAAGUGGAAACCGUAU
ensembl:lincRNA